rnacentral:lncRNA from 1 species
GCCAACUAGAAAUGCCCUCACGAUGGCGACCCAUCCGAUCAAAAGCGCAACAGCCACCACAAAGAACGCUACGAAGGUCACGAAAGUCCAGAGGAAAGUGACCAUGAGCCUCUUCCACACUCUGGGCACGACGCUCAUGAUCUUCUUGAAAGUAAUCUGCUUAGCGGCGUAGAUGCAGGCCACCGUAUAGACAACGGCCGAGGUCGAAAGCAGAGAGAAGAUAAAGACGAAGAUGAAGUACCCGAGCUUGGUGAGCCAGAAGGCGACCCACUCCUUCUUGAGCACGUGGGACAGGUCCCUGUAGCUCUGGCUGCCCUCCGAGGCGUAGUCCCGGUCGUACUCGUGGUCGACGAUCCUGGAGGUGAGGAGAUGCGAGACCAAGGAGUGGGAGAGGAAGACGACGCAGAGAGGGAGGAUGAGCGCGAGCGUGAUCUGGGCGAAGAUCUUCCUCCAUUUGAGGAUGAUCUUGGAGCUCUCUCUGUAGACGCCGAGGAACCCAAGGAACUGCAGCUCGUGCUGGUCUCUUUCCAUCGUUUCUUCCGCACAGAGAAAUCAAGAACGGGGAUACUUCUUGAGGCAGAGCAAGCGGAGAGGCUCAGACCCUCGGAUGACUAAAAGGGUCUCGAGAAAUGACAACCGAAGAGUAAAGAGAUAAACAAAGAGAUGGCGAUGGCUGACAGAGUGGGGUAGGAAGAAGGGAAGACUUCGAAGUGUCAACGAGUCAAUGCGGUCUCCUCGAUCCCCAAGAAUCGACUUUGCCUAAGGAAGAGAAGAAAGCGUGUGGCCCGAAGUUUCUCCGGUUUCCCCCACUAGCGACGUCGCAGCACGAAACGCGUGGAUCGUCGGCUAUGGAAUUCAUCUGAGGCAAUGCGAUGUGGAGUCCGCAUCAUAGGUGACGAAAAUAGCGUGGAAAGUGAGCGAGCUUGCUUGGGUGAUGAAAUAGCGUGGAAAUUGAGCUAGCGUGCUUGGGGGACUUUGCCCCUGGAAAUCUUCUUGAGAAGCUUAACAUAUGUAUCUAUAAAGAAUUCUAUUGCCCCAAGCGUCCUCGGCUAUGAUAUGCUAUGCUUUAUCGACAUGUUUUGCUCUUCAUUUCUAUACGGGUUCCGAUCCGAACAUUCUUUCUUAUGUAAGUUGCAUUUUCUUGAUCUGCUUUUUAACAUCCAUUAUAGUUGAGACAUAAAUAUGAAACUUGAAUAGUCCAAAAUCUUUUAAGAACUUGGAGUGAGCACAAUUGCCUAUGAUGAGCUUAAAAUGGAAGAUAAUAGAGACAUCAUAGAGCAAGGUACAAUAUAUAGUUCAUGACCCAGUAAAGAUUGAGGUAAAUCAUGAUAAACGCAUCGUUAAGUAAUAAAUAUUGAACUUAUAAACUCAAUCAUGUUAAUGAAUUUGAUCUAUUGAGCUCACACAUUAAAUACCCGUGAAUCUCCUAAAGGUAAAAAUCACACAUGCCUUUUUUUAGUGUGCAUCAUAUUCUAAGUGAAUCAUAGAAAUGCAUUAAAGAGAGUGAAUUGAGAUAGUUACAAUUACAAAGAUCAUAAUAUUCUAAUGAGCUCACACUUUGUGAGGCACUAUAAUACUUGAGCUCAUUCAUAGAAUACGUUACAUUUCUUUUGAAUUUUGUUAGGUUUCACUUAUAGAGAUCAUAAUAUUCAAAUGAGCUCACGCUAAUUAUAUGGUACUCCUCAAAGCACUUGAUCCAUGCUUAUUGUUGCAAUAUUCGACAUACUUAAAUUAUUAACUUUACAUGUGGUUUCUCUGCACUAAUGAGCUUAAAUUGUUUUGUUGGACUUUCUGAAAUUAGAGAUGAGCUAACCUAUCAAGUUUAGUGAGAAUCAAUUGAGCACUUGAAGAAUGUCUCGCACUAGGGGAAAAAAGGUAAUUAACUAAUUCUUUGUAAAAAUCUCACAGUCGUAAGGCAUGAAUAAUAACCAUCAUGUUCUUGAAAGCAAUUUAUGGCUAGAAAUAGAUUUUAUUUCUGUUCGCAAGACGAGUUUGUAAGUAGAAACAUGUUUGAUUACAACGCAAAAUUUAUAUUCCCAAAGCAAAGAUUCCUUUAGUAGGCUUUAAAAUUUCUUGGCAGUCAAUGAUCAGUGUGCAAGCGACUGACGGCUGAGUGAUGGAAGAGUUUUAAUUUUUCAUUUAUAUUCAAGAAAUGGAAAAGUAGAAAAUCAUUUAUGUUCCAAACUUAUAUCUGGGCUAAAAAAUUAUCCUAAAAAAUGAAAUUGCAUUACCAAAUGGAUUCCUAUUCCAAACCUAUGUUCAGAAAAAAAAAAAAAAAAAAAGAAGAAGAAAAUUACUGAAAUAGAAAGUUACCAUUCAUGCCCUUAGAAACCUCUCUCCCUUGCUUCAAAGCUUUCGCACAAAGAGCAUGAGGAAAAUAACUAAAGUUUCCGCAGGUUUCUCUAUGGUGCUGUUUGCAUCUUAUUUUGUCUACAUGUGUCAUUAAUUUAGAGUAUAUUUGGUCCACCUUUUUUUUUUUUUUUUACUUUUCUUGUAUUAUUUGAAAUUUAUUUUUUUGUCUUUAAUGUUAGACGAUCAAAACUUUCAUUCAAAACGUACAAACAUUGAUGGACAAGACUCGUUUGGAUCUUCUCAUCAAUUUUUUUUUUUUUUUUUCAGUUUACGUUCAUUAUUGAUUUCAAAAGUUUAAGGUAAAGCAAAAGCAACUACACCAUGAGCUGCAACCAACAGUCUUCUGCCUUUGUUUGUUCCACUAAAGAAUACAUGAUUUGGAAAAUAUUUUCCUAAAAAUAAAUACUUACAUCAUUUGAAAUAAUUAGUUAAUAAAAAAAUUAUAUUGUCAAUAACAAUUUAUAUUUAAAUAUGUUCAAGGAAGAUAAAAGUGUUUUUCGUUUAUUCUUUUUGUAAGUAAUAUAAAUAAUUAUUUUUAGGGAAAAAAAUUUACAUUAUUUAUUUUCUGCGAAACAAAUGAAAUCUUAAGUUGCAUUAAUUUUCAGACGAUGAUAAUGAUGAUCAGAAGAUGCACCAUCACUAAUAAGGAAGGAUUUUACUUACUGCUGAUAGAAAUAAGCAUAUUUAAGAAUCUGGCCAAAAUAUAUAGCUCACGUGAGGUUAAGCCACGCGUGAGCCUAACUUUGCGAUUUGAUUUUCAUGGUGGCUUUUCAUGGGCACGCCGAGGAACCCAAGGAAAUCAAGAACGAGGGAACGAUGGAUGGGUAGAGAGAGACUGGGAUAUUUCUUGAAGCAAAGCAAGCGAAGAGACUCAUAGAUUCAGAUGACUAAAGGAUCUCGAGAAGAACAACCACGGAGUGAAGUGAUAAAUGAAGAAAUGGCAAUGGUUAACAGAAUAGGGUAGGAAGAGGGAAGACUUUCAAAUUUCAACGAGUCAAAGCUUGUUAUUCAGAUUCCCUACCUCUUCACGUGGUUUCAUCCCCUGUAAUUGAAUUUGCUUAUAGAAGAGAAGAAAGCUUUUGGUCUCGCUUUCUCUGCUUUCUGCCUGAAGUUACUCAGGUCUCCUGAUGUAGUGACAUUGCAGCACGAAACGAGUGGAUGGUGGCCAUUGGAAUUCGGUAGAGCUUAUGUGAUUCCGCAUUGAAGAGAUCAUAUAAUGUGGAAAGUGAAUGAGCGUGCUUGUGAGUCUCCAUGAGAAGUUGACAUAUAUAUUUAUAAAGAAUUCCAUCAUGUCUAUCAUGUCAAGACAUGAGACACAACCCUUUGGCAUCAUGCAUAGCAUCCUUAGCUAUAAUUUGUUUUAUUGACACGCUUUUGUUAUGGGCCGGCGAUUUGGAGUCUACAUCAAAGUGAUGAAAUAGUGUAGAAAGUGAGCAUGCAUGCUUGUGGGCCUCCAUGAGAAGCUGACUUUUAUACUUACAAAGAAUUCUAUUAUGCCGAGACAUGAGAUAGGGUGCUUUGGUGUCACAUCGAGUAUCCUCAGCUACAAUAUGCUUUAUCGAGAUGCUUUUGUUACAGGCCAACAAUUUGGAGUCUACGUUGAAGGGCAUUCCAUGGAAAGAUCAAAGCACAACAGUAUUUAUCUUCUCAAAAAAUCUCGAUAGAUUGUUCAUAAAUGAGUUCCAAACGAUUCAUUAAGCAUCCCUAAUCAACGGUUUUCGAUCGCAGGAAAAGUGGAACCANNNNNNNNNNNNNNNNNNNNNNNNNNNNNNNNNNNNNNNNNNNNNNNNNNNNNNNNNNNNNNNNNNNNNNNNNNNNNNNNNNNNNNNNNNNNNNNNNNNNUUAAGAGAAGAAAGCUUUUGGUCCCGCUUUCUCUGCUUUCUGCCUGAAGUUACUCAGGUCUCCUGAUGUAGUGACAUUGCAGCACGAAACGAGUGGAUGGUGGCCAUUGGAAUUCGGUAGAGCUUAUGCGAUUCCGCAUUGAAGAGAUCAUAUAAUGUGGAAAGUGAAUGAGCGUGCUUGUGAGUCUCCAUGAGAAGUUGACAUAUAUAUUUAUAAAGAAUUCCAUCAUGUCUAUCAUGUCAAGACAUGAGACACAACCCUUUGGCAUCAUGCAUAGCAUCCUUAGCUAUAAUUUGUUUUAUUGACACGCUUUUGUUAUGGGCCGGCGAUUUGGAGUCUACAUCGAAGUGAUGAAAUAGUGUAGAAAGUGAGCAUGCAUGCUUGUGGGCCUCCAUGAGAAGCUGACUUUUAUACUUAUAAAGAAUUCUAUUAUGCCGAGACAUGAGACAGGGUGCCUUGGUGUCACACUAAGCAUCCUCAGCUACAAUAUGAUUUAUCGAGAUGCUUUUGUCACAGGCCAAAAAUUUGGAGUCUACGUUGAAGUGAUGAAAUAGUGUAAAAAGUGAGUGAGUGUGCUUGUGGGCCUACAUGAGAAGCUGACAUAUAUACCUAUAAAGAAUUCUAUUGUGAGACACAGUGCAGUGUCAUGCCAAGCCUUCUUAGCUAUAAUUUGCUUUAUUAACACUCUUUUGUCACGGGCCAGCAAUUCCUUAGUCAUGAAUAGUGCAUUCGGUGCCUAGUGAGCAAAUAAACACCAAGUUGGCCUUUCUUCUAUAAUUAUUCUAGAGAACAAUAUGGCAAAUAUCAUACAUCAAUCAGAUCAUACCACAUCUAGCUUAACUCGAGCGUUUAAUCCAUUGAUUGAGACGACAUAUCAUUUUAGGCAACUGCUUUCAACCUGCCAUGGCCUCAUUAAGAGAAUGCAUCAACUCCUAAUUAGUUUGUGCACGGGAAGCCAAUCCUGCCUUAGAACCUCGCAGAGAUAUAUUCGUUCUAUUCUAGGACUCCUAACACGAAUCAUCUUGAUGCUACUCCCAUGGACCAAUUGUAUUUAUCCCCUCUACAUUGCUCUCUCUUCACCCAGUAACCCAAAGCUCCACUCACAAGGGUCUCGAGUAUGAGAAAAUCACAAACCGUAAUACUUUGCUCUUCAUUUCUAUUCGUAUUCUGAUCCGAACAUUCUUUCUCAUGUAAGUUGCUUUUUCUUGAUCCACAUUUUAGUGACUGUUAUAUCUUGUGCUUAAAUACUUGGUAUGUGCCAUUUUUAUUUGCAUCAUAUUCUAAGUAAAUCACGUUCAUGCAUUAAAAAGAGUGAAUUUAGAUAUGUUACAUUUAUAGAGAUCAUAAUAUUCAAAUGAGCUCGCACUAAUUUUAUGGUACACUAUGAUACUCGAGCUUAUUCAAAGAGUACAUUACAUUUGUUUUGAAUUUAGGUAGGUUUCACUUAUAGAGAUCAUAAUAUUAAAAAAAAAGCUCGUGCUAAUUAUAUGGUACUUCUUAGAGUACUUGAUCCAUGCUUAUUGUUGCAAUAUCAACGUUAUUUGAUUAUUAGGUUUACAUGUGAUCUCCCUCCUCCUAUGAGCUUAAGUUAUGUUGUUAGACUUUCUGACACACUCGUAAAGAUAUUUUGAAUUGGAGGUGUUGUACGAUGAUUAACUUGCCAUGGAAUCAAGAGUUCUUUAGGUUUCUUUAACUUAAGUGAAGUUGGGUCACAUGAGCUGAGAGGAUUUAAUAAUUUUCUAAAAUCAAAGACAAGCUAUACCUAUCAUGUUUAGUGGUAAUCAACUGAGCACUAGAUGAAUCUCUAGCACCAUGUUAAUAGGGGGGGAAAGAGUAAAAUACUAACUAUUUGAAUAAAAUACGACAAUCUUAUGGUGGAAUGAUAAUUGUCUUGUUCUUAAGAAUGAUUUCUAACUAGAAAUGGAUUUUUGUAGCUCUAUUCCUUAGAUGAGUUUAUGAACAAAGACAUGCAUUUAAAAACAACACAAAAUUUCUAUUCUCGGACUAGAAACUCAUUUAAUAAGCCUUAAAAUUUCUUGGUGGCUAGCGGCCAACGACUGGCGGGUGGGUGGGCAAGAGGGCAGCUGAUGGCAUGUGGUGAAAACAAGUGAUGAGAAGAAGAAAUAGAAAAGUAAAAAUCUUAUACUUCGCUUUUUGUUCCAAUUUUUUUCUAAGCUAAAAAUUUGUCCUAAAAAUGGAAAAAUGAAAUUACGUUACCGAUCAGAUUUAUAUUCCAAACUUGUUCUCGAGAAUGAAAAAAUAGAAAAAUAAAAAGAAACAUAAUAAUUAUCAUUCACGCCCUAAGUAACCUCGCUCGCUUCAAAGCUUUGGCUAAGAGAAUAGGAGGAAAAUAACUAAAGUUUCUGCAGGUUUUUAUAUGGUGCUCCUUCCAACUUAUAUUUUCCUACUCGUGUCAUUAAUUUCGAGUAUAUUUGGUUCGCAUUUUUACCUUUUUUUUUUUUACUUGCAUCAUUUGAAAUUUAAUUUUCGUCUUUAACGUUGGAUGAUCAAAAGUUUUAUUCAAAAUGUACAAACGUUGAUGGACAAGACCCAUUUUCUCAUCAAAUUUUUUUGGCAGAAAUACAUCCCAAGUGCCAAAACUUGGUACGAAUGGACACUUAAGUGCCAAAAGUUUGGAAGGUGACACUUAAGUAUCAAAAUCGGAGUAAAAUGGAUCACUUAAGUGCCACUCCAGCCAAAAUCUGGUCAAAAUGUUGACAUGGCGAUUUUCCCGUGAAGAAAGUGCAAAACGACGCUAUUUUGUACGUUGACGAGGCUAGACAAUACAAAAAUGACGUUGUUUCGACGCUGACGUGAUAAAAAAAUUAAUUAAAUUAAAUUUAAAACUAAAUUUAUUGAAAUCAUUUAAAAAAUAUUUAAAAAAACUGAAAAUUAAAAAAAAAAAAAAGGGGGGGCAGGUAGUUGAGGGCUGAGUCUUUGCUACCGCCGAAAGGGCCUAGCCCCCCUUUUUAAAAAACAAUUAGUUUUUCUUUUUAAAACUUUUUGUUUUUUAAUAUUUUAAUAUUAUUUUUAAAUGUUUUAAAUAAGUUUAGUUUUAAACGUUUUAAAUUUUUAGUUUUUUAAUAUAUAUUUUUAAAUUUUUUAGUUUUUUAAUAUUUUUAUUUUAUUUUUAAAUGUUUUAAAUAAGUUUAGUUUUAUAUUUAACUUAAUUAAUUUAUAUAUUAAUUUUUUUACGACGCUAGUACCAAAACGACGUCAUUUUUGUAUCGUUUAGUCACGUCAACAUGCAAAACGGCGUCAUUUUACAUUUCCUUCAUAGGAAAAUCGCAACGUCGACAUUUUGACCAUAUUUUGGCCAAAGUGGCACUUAAGUGAUCAAUUUAGCUCCGAUUUUAGUACUUAAGUGUCACGUUCCAAACUUUUGGCACUUAAGUGUCCCUCCAUGCCAAAUUUUGACACUCCAGGUGUUCGUGCCUCAUUUUUUUUUUUAGUUCUCAUUCUUUAUUGAUUUCAAAAGUUUAAUGGUAAGCUAAAGCAACUUCAUUAUAAGCCGUAGUGCUCAGUUUUCUUAAGUUGCUUUAAUUUACAUAUGAUGUUAAUGAUGAUCAAAAGAGGCACCAUUACUAAUAAGGAAGGGUUCCGCUUACUGCUGAUAGAAAUAAGCAUAGCUAGAAUCUAACCAAAAUAUGUAUAGCUAGCACGAGGUUGAGCCACACACGAGCUUUACUUAACAAUUUGUUUUUUACGGUGACUUUAUUAAAUCUUUAAUUCUUAUGCAUAUAUUUCUUAUUGUGUUAUAUUUCAAUUCUUAUGAAAUAUAUAAAUAAUUAGAUGAAAGCAAAUUAUUUCAUGGUUGUACAUAUCUUGAUAAUGCAUGUUUCAACUUAGUUGUUUAUAUGUACAUAGAUCUUAUUUUGAAAUGUCUAUGUAAAAGUAAGGAUGAAAUUUUUUCAACAUAAAAAAAAGAAGAAGGCUUUCCUACAUCUAGGAAAACGAAAAAUAAAGAUCAAAGUUUACUGUUUAAAAUGUUUGUUACAUAUAUUUAGCGAAUAAUUCAUAAAUGGACGGCCUUUUGGCCUUCAGAGGGGCAGUCUCCAAGACGGCCCUCGAGAUGAUCAGGCAAGCAAGAGCUGUCGAUGUUCUCAUGGUGGUAGGACUUGCAGACGACGUAGAUCGCUGUCUGCACGACCAAAUCGGACAGCACCAGCAUCGACAGCAACAUCAAGCAGAUCAGUCCAAUCCCAAUCUUGACUCCAAUAGGAACCAAGUCGAAGAACACAAGAGAUUCAAACAGUGCCAGAACCGGCACGGAGCCCACCAAGACACCAAGAAAAACUUCAUUAGAAGCCGCAGUGCUCAGUUUUCUUAAGUUGCUUUAAUUUCCAUAUGAUGAUAAUGAUGAUCAGAAGAGGGACCAUUACUAAUAAUGAAGGAUUUUAUUUACUGCUGAUAGAAAUAAGCAUGGUUAGAAUCUGACCAAAAUAUAUACAGCUUGCAUGAGGUUGAACCACGCACAAGCUUUACUUAGCAAUUUGUUUUUUCUUGGUGACUUUAGCAAAUCUUUAAUUCUUAUGCAUAUGUAGUGCUCUAUUUCAAUUCUUAUGAAAAUAUAUAAAUAAUUAGAUGAAAGGAAAAUACUUCAUGAUCGUACAUAUCUUGAUAAUGCAUGUUUCAAUUUAGUUGUUUAUAUGUACAUAGAUCUUGUUUUGAAAUGUCUAUGUAAAAGUGAGGCUGAAAUUUUUUCAACAAAAAAAUAAUGCUUUCCUACAUCAAGGAAAACAAAAAAUUAAAGAGAAAUUUUACUGUUUAAAAUGUUACAUAUAUUUAACAAAUAAUUUAUAUGUGCAUUAUUGAUUCUGCAAAUCCAUUUCUUAUGCACAUAUCACAUUCUAUUUGUAAUAUAUAUAAUUAUGGAUUAUAAGCUUUUCCAUCUAAUUAUACAUAGAUAUCUCAAAUAAGAUGAAAAAAUAUGCACUCCGUAAUUGCACGUAUCUUGAUAAUAAAUGUACAUAUAGAUUGUAUAUUCAAAUGUCUAUAUAAAAAGAAGGCUAUAAGUUAUAUUUGAUGGUUGCGUGCAUUUUAUAACAUGAACAUUAGGAAAUUACUAACUUAUUGACAUAAAUAUUUAGGUUGAAAACAACUACUUUAAAAGGUUCCUAUGAUAUAAUAGUGCAUAUUUCAACAAUAUAUGUUGUUAGAGGAUCAUUAAAAGAGUCAUGCAACACAAGACCAUUUAUAUGAUAAAUAGAUGACAUCAGAGGAUUAAUAGAAAAAAUUUCUUCACUAAAGAAUUAUAGCUCGUCUGUUACAGGUAAAUGAAACAUUACAAAUCAGAAAAUAUUUAGUAUUUCCCAAAAAAAAAAGAAGAAGAAGAAGAAGAAGAACCCAUCAGACAUGAAGUUGCUCAAGCUGAACAGCCUUUUGGCCUUCAGAGGAACGGUCUCCAAGACGGCCCUCGAGGUGAUCAGACAAGCAGAAGCUGUCGAUGUUCUCAUGGUGGUAGGACUUACAGACAAAGUAGAUCACUGUCUGCACGACCAAAUUGAAGAGCGUCAGCAUCGACAGCAACAGCAAGCAGAUCAGCCCCACCCCUAUCGUGACUCCAAUAGGAGGCAAGCCCAAGACAAGAAGGGAUUCAAAGAGUGCCUGAACCAGCACGGACCACACCAAGACACCAAGAAAACACCAAACCCAUAGGCCCAUCUUGCCCUUUAUCAGUCUCCUGCUCUUCACCAUCGCCUUCCUUCCAUAAGCAUCUUCAAGAACCGAGAUCACACUCGCCAUUAGCCAAAUCAUGGUGAUAUAAACAAACCCAACGAUGGACAAGAUCAAGAGAAUGACCGCCACAGCAAUCCCAAGUGCAGGGCAAACUGCAAAUUGCCACACCGUGGCGAGCCAUGCGAUCAAAAGCCCUACAGCCACCACAUUGUACACAAAGAAGGGUGCGAAGCACCAGAAAAAGGUGACCAUGAGCCUCUUCCACUUUCUGGGCACGACACUCAUUAUCUUCUUGAAAGUAAUCUGCUUGGCAGCGUAGAUGCAGGCCACCGUGUAGACGACAGCCAAGGUUGAAAGCAGAGAGAAGAUGAAGACAAAGAUGAAGUAGCCGAGCUCGAAGAGACAUAAAACAAUCCACUCCUUCUUGAGCAUGCGGGACAGGUCGCUGUAUCUUGGGCUGUGUUUCCAGGCGUCAUCCAGGUCGAGAUCGAUCUUGAAGGUGAGGAGCUGCAAGACCUCAAAGGCGGCAAGGGAGACGACACAGAGAGGGAGGAUAAGCACGAGCGUGAUCUGAGCGAAGAUCGUCCUCCAUUUGAGGAUGAUCUUGGUGGUCUCCCUGUAGACGCCGAGGAACCCAAGGAAGUGCAGCUCGUGCUGCUCUCUGUCCAUUGUUUUUUUGGCACAGAGAAAUCAAGAACAUCGAUGGGUAGAGAGAGACUGGGAUAUUUCUUGAAGCAGAGCAAGCGAAGAGACUCAGAGACUCAGAUGACUGAAGGUUCUCGAGAAGAGAAGAAAGCUUUUGGUCCCACUUUUCUUUGCUCUCUGCCCUAAGUUUCUCGCGUAUCCUGAUCUAGUGACAUCGCAGCACGAAAUGCGUCGAUGGUGGCCAUUGGAAUUCAGCCCAGUCGAUGCAAUUUGGAGUCCAUGGCAAAGUAAUAAAAUAGUUUGAAAAGUCAGUGAGCGUGCUCUUGGGAUAAUUUGUUUUAUCGAUAUUCUUUUGUUAUGGGCCGGCAAUUUGGAGUCUGUGUCGAAGUGAUGAAAUAGUGUGGAAAGUGAGCGAGCGUGCUUGUGGGUCUCCAUGAGAAGUCGACAUAUUACCUAUAAAGAAGACUAUCAUGCCGAGACAUGGCGUUUGGUGUCACACCAAGCGCUCUCAGUUAUAAUUGAUUUUAUCAACAUGCUUUUGUCACAGGCCGGCAUUUCCUUGGCCACAGAAUAGAUUGUGCAGUGCCUAGUGAGGAAACAAACAUCAACCCAGCCUCCCUUCAAUGGUUAUUCCAAAGAACAAUAUGGCAAAUAGCAUACAUUGAUCAAAUUGUACCACGCUCAGCUUAGCUUGGGUGUAUAAUCUAUCAAGUGAAAUAACAUAUCACUUUAGACUUAACAACUAGUUUUGGUCUACCAUAACCUCAAUAGGAGAGUAGCAUUAGCUUCAGACUAGUUUGUGCAUGGGAGGCUGUCCUCGCCUUCAGAGCCAUAUAAAGAUAUAUUUGCUCUAUGCUAGAAUUCCUAGCACUAACCAUCUUAAUGCCACUCUCAUAGAUCAAUUAUUUAUCCCUUUGCAUUGUUCAUUGUUGCGACCUAAUUUUUCAGGGUACAAUCCUAAAGUUUAGGUUAAUGGACUAUCUUAAACUUAGCUUAGGCCCUCCCAAGCCUAUACCAAUUCGCAACUUUAGGUUCCAAUUUUUAAACAUGUAGAUAAAUUUUAUAUAGGAGUCGCCACUAAUCAUUUUCCGAUAAGUUGAUUAGACACCUAAGUAAAAUAACGGGAGAAUUAUUUUACUCUUACGAAUCAAAGACUAAGGGUACGGGGACUUUGUUACAUUAGACUUCCCUAAUGCCCUUUCGGUACCAUUUUUUUUUUUUUUAAAAUAUUUUAUGCAGGUAGGUUGGAUUUAUUUUAACCUAAUUACUAUCAUGCAAAAUAUGGUGACCACACGGGUGCUCAUCCAUUCAAUAAAAAUAAAUGAACAAAUGAAUUGCACCACACAAAAUAAUCAAUUAUUUUUUGGGUUUUUCUUGAAAUUAGGAUUCUAUCAUGUGCAUUUUAACUAAGGGCCUGCAUGGUAACACUCCAAAAAAGUGUUUUUGGAACACUUUUGUACUUUUUUUUGUUCCCAGGAACAAAAAAAUAACAGAAACGUGUUUGGUUGCGUUUAUGUUCUUUUUUUGUUUUUUUGUUCCCAGAAUAAAAUUGGAGCAAAAAAAAGAAACACAAAAAAGUUGCUUCUUGUUCCAGAAACAAUUUUGAAGAAGCAUUUUUUCUCUCUCUUUUUCUCUCUGCUUCUCUUUUUUCUCUUUUUCUUGGCAAGUCGCCAGCCUCGGCCAUGGCCGGCNNNNNNNNNNNNNNNNNNNNNNNNNNNNNNNNNNNNNNNNNNNNNNNNNNNNNNNNNNNNNNNNNNNNNNNNNNNNNNNNNNNNNNNNNNNNNNNNNNNNGCUCGGCUCCGACGGCAGGGCGGCGAGACUCGGCCUCGCCCGCGUCGGCGGACCGCCUCGCCUCGCCUUGGCUGGGGCGAAGCUUGGGCUCGCCAAGAUUCCGGCGAAGCCCGAGCCACGCCCAACCACGGCGAGGCUCGGCCUCACCGGGGGCCGGCGACCGGCCGAAAGAAAGAAAAAAAUAAAAAAAGAAAGGAAAAAAUGGAAAAUAAAAUCAAAAUAUUAAAAAAUUAAAAGAAACAAAAAAAAGAAUAAAAAUUUUACCAAACGUGUUUCUACUCAUUUUUUAUUCCCGGGAACAAACGUUACCCAAACACAUUCUUUUGUUCAAAAAACCGUUCCCCGGAACAGAAACACUUUUUUUUAUUUCUGUUCCUGGGAACAAAAAAGAAACAUAAAUGUUUCCAUGCGGGGCCUAAAUGACUUAAUUUUCUAAUAUGCACAUUCUAAUUAAAUGAACCUAAUAUGCAAACUAAUUAACAUGUACCUUAAUAUUUCUAAUAAGCUAAUUCUAAACCAUGUUAUGCAAAUUAAUUAACAUGCUCUUAAUAUUACCAAUAAAGAAAUUCUAGUUAAAUAGACUUAUUAUGCAAAUUAAUAUGCAUUUCAUGACCUAAUUUUACUAGUAAAUAUAUUCAAAUUAAAUAAUUCUAUUAUGUAGGCUAAUUAAUAUGCACCUAGUGUUUUUUUGUAAUUUUUUUCCUUUUUAUUGAAAUUUAGAAUUAAUAAAAACCUAAUUAAACUAUCUAAAAAGGAAUGAUUUUCUAAUUCAUUUUUUGAAAUUAAUUUGACUUAAACCCUAAUCUGACUUAGAAAACUAUUUCUAGAAAAUUAAGGUAAUUAAAAUGUGCAAACAUUAUCUAAAACCCUAUAUAUAUAAACAAAAUUAGGUCUAACCCUAAACUAUUUUAAAAAAAAUUAUCUAAUGAUGCAAUUCUAAAAAUGUAAUCCUAAAAAAAAAAAAAAAAAAAUCUAAUUUACUAAUCCGACAUGUCUAAUGUAUUAAAUUUAUAUACUCAUGCAUGAUUUUGAUUUUUUUUUCUAUUUUCUGAUUUUUUUAUAGUUUUUUUAAGGAUAAGUAAUUAUUAAAUAAAUAUAAAAUCUAUACUAUCAACAAAAUGAAGGAUUAAAAUAAAAAAAAUAACAUGUUGUCUCACAGGUCAAAUUAACAAUUAUUCUAAUCCUAAUUAUCAUGACAAAGAGUUUCUAAAUAAUUAAAAAUAUGAAAUUCUACAAAAAAGCUCAACAAUUAAUAUAAUUAGCAAAAUGAUCCGAUGUCUCUAAAAUCAAAUUAAUAAUUACAAUAAUUCCGGACAAAAUCCUUACGGAUAAUGCCUAUAAAACUUACAAAUAUUAAAAUUCAAUAUUGCAAUUUAAAUAACUAAACCGAACAAAACAGACAAAAUAAGAUAAAAUAAAUGAAAAAUGAGAAUAAAAAUAAAAAUAAAAACAACCUAAGGGGGACUCCACGAUCUGUAACACGAUGGGAGAAGGCGUGGCAACGGGGAAGUCGGACGGCCGGUGUCGGAGCUCCAGCGGAAGCUGGCGGGCGGCGACGGUGAGAGGCGUCGCGGGCGGUGGUGCCAAGGCGAGGCGGAGCGGCGAGGGAGCAAUUGUGGGCGUCGGCGGCGGUGCUACGCGGCGGAGGUGCAGGCACGAGCGUCGAGUCGAGCAGCGAGGGUGCUCGCGGUGUCAACGCGGAGGCGUCGGUGACGGACGGAUAGCGAAGGCGGCUGCUGCAGGGAUGCAAUGGAGAGCUGCAGGGGGCGAACUCCGGGACAGGGCCUCGGCGGAGGGAGACGCGAUUCGGUGCUGCAAGGGUUGCAGACGAUGGUGCUCGUGGGUGCUGGUGCGCGGAUGUCGAGGCAGAUCAGGCGCGUAGGGGCGACAACUGGUGCAGCAAGGGACGUCUGGUGGUGAGCGUCGGUCUUCGGGUCUCGGGCUGAGGCGCAGGCCGAGGAAUUACAGGUGUUGCUGAUGCAGAGGCGGGUCGUCAGAGGGAGAGCAGAAGCCAGCGGCGAGUGUUGAGGGAAGUCGUUGCUCGUAGGAGAUCGAGCGGCGGAAGAAGAAGACUGGUUCUUCUUCCGCUUCUGCUUUCCCUUUGCUUUUCUCUCUCUUCUCACCUGUCUUUCUCACGUCACCUCCCUCUCUGCCCCCUGUACACUUUCCCUUUCCCCAAAGAACCGGGAGAAACCACGUCNNNNNNNNNNNNNNNNNNNNNNNNNNNNNNNNNNNNNNNNNNNNNNNNNNNNNNNNNNNNNNNNNNNNNNNNNNNNNNNNNNNNNNNNNNNNNNNNNNNNCAAGUGAGAUAUUCACUCAACGACUCCAAUAAUAAAAAGGCUCCAAAAUCAAAUAAAAACUGAAUCUUUUUGAAUUUUGAAAUGAAGAUAUAUUUUCAACAAAAAAUUUUCAAAACCAAAUUUUUACUUUAUUUAUUAUUUUCUAAAAUAUUAGAUGUCAACAUUCACUCUUCACCCGAUAACUCCAAGCUCCACUACAAGGAUUGCGAGUGUGAGAGAAUCACGGUACGUGAACUUUGCUCUUCAUUUCUAUACAUAUUAUGACCCAAACAUUCUUUCUUAUGUAAGUUGCAUUUUCUUGAUCUUCGUUUUAGUGACUGUUAUAUCUUGCACUUAAAAUACUUAACAAAUGUCCAUAGUUGAGACCUAAUAUGAGACUCGAACUUUCCCAAAGAAUGUUAAGAACUUGGAUUACACACGAUUGCUCAUGAUGAGCUUAACACGGAUGAGAAUAGAGACAUUAUAGUGCAAGGUACAUAGUUAAUGACCUAGUAAACAUUGAGGUAAAUCUUUGAUAAGGGCAUCAUAAAGUAUAAAUGUUGAACUUAUAAACUCAUGUUGAUGUCUUCGAUCUAUUAUGCUCACACAUUAAUACUUGGGAAUCUCCUCAAGGUAAAAAUCACGUGUGUCAUUUAUAUUUGCAUCACAUUCUAAGGGUAUCAUAUAAAUGCAUUAAAAACAGUGAAUUUAGAUAUAUUACACUUACAAAGAUCAUAAUAUUCAAAUGAGCUCACACUAAUUUUAUGGUACACUAUGAUACUCAAGCUCAUUCAUAGAGUAUGCUACAUUUAUUUUGAAUUUAGAUAAGUUUCACUUAUAGUGAUCAUAAUAUUCAAAUGAGCUCAUGUUAAUUAUAUGGUACUCCUCAAAGCACUUGAUCCAUGCUUGUUGUUGCAAUAUUCAAUGCCCUUUGAUUAUUAGGUUUACAUGUGGUCUUCCUUUAUCUAUAAGUUUAAGUUGUUUUGUUGGACUUUCUGACACUCAUAAAGAUAUUUUGAAUUAGAGGUGAUGUAUGAUGAUUUUCUUUUUUGGGUUCAAAUUGUACUAUGAUUAACUUGCCAUGGAAUCAGGAGAUUUUUAGGUUUCUUUCUAUUUAAGUGAAGUUGUGUCACAUGAGCCAAGGGCAUUUAAUGAUUUUUUAAAAUUAGAGACAAGCUAUACCCAUCAUGUUUAGUGGGAAGCAACUGAGCACUUGAAGAAUCUUUAGCACCAUGUUACUAGGGAGAAAAAGUAAAAUAUUAACUAUUUGAAGAAAAUAUGACAUCCUUAUUGUGUCAAUAAUAACUAUUAUGUUUUCGAGAAUAAUUUUCUAGCUAGAAAUGGAGUUUUCUCUUUCUAUUUCUUUGAUAAGUUUAUGAGUAGAGAUACGUGUUUGAUAACAAUACAAAAUUUCUAUUUUCAGAAAAGAAAUUCAUUCAAUAAGCCUUAAAAUUUCUUGGUGACUAGCGGGUGAGUGAGCCGCAGAGGGCGGUUGACAGUAUUUGGUGAGAGUGAGCGAUGAAAAGAGUUUUCAUUUUUCAUUUAUGUUCUAGAAAUAGAAAAGUAUAAAAUUUUUACUUCUUAUUUUUGUUCAAAAUUUAUUUCUGAGCUAAAAAUUGGUGUCGAAAAUAGAAAAAAUAAAAUUGCAUUACCAAAAAAAAAAAAUUAUACUCCAAACUUGUUCCUAGGAACAAAAAAUAUAUAGAAAAAUAAAGAAACAAAAUGAUUAUUAUUCACGCCCCUAGCAACCUCACUCUCUUGCUUCAAAGCUUAGGUACAUAAAGCAGGAGGAAAAUAACUAAAUUUUCUGCAUUUGUCUACAUGUAACAUUAAUUUCAAGUAUAUUUGGUCAACUUUUUUACUCUCUUUUUUUUUUUUUUUUUUUUACUUUUCUUGUAUCAUUUGAAAUUAAUUUUUUUUGUCUUUAAUGUUGGAUGAUCGAAACUUUCAUUCAAAACGUACAAACGUUGAUGGACAAGAGCUCAUUUAGUUUUUCUCAUCAAAUAUUUUGAGUUUACACUCUUUAUUGAUUUCAAAAGUUUAAUGGUAAAGCAAAAGCAACUUCACUAUAAGCCACGGCGCUCAGUUCUAAGUGCUNNNNNNNNNNNNNNNNNNNNNNNNNNNNNNNNNNNNNNNNNNNNNNNNNNNNNNNNNNNNNNNNNNNNNNNNNNNNNNNNNNNNNNNNNNNNNNNNNNNNUGUAAAGUAAGGCUGAAAUUUUUUCAAAAAAAAAGAAGGCAUUCAUAUAUCUAGGAAAAUGAAAAAUUAAAGAGAAAAUUUUACUGUUUAAAUGUUUGUUACAUAUAUUUAGCGGAUAAUUUAUAUAUGGAUUAUUGAUUAUGCAAAUCUAGUUCUUUUGCAUAUACAACAUUCUAUUUGUAAUAUAUAUUAUUGUGGAAUAUAAAUUAUUUCACCUAAUUAUACAUAGAUAUCUCAAAAUAAUAUGAAAAAAAAAUAUGCAUUCUGUAAGAUAAUACAUGUACAUAUGGAUUGUAUUUUCAAUUGCCUAUAUAAAAAGAAGGCUAAAAGUUAUAUUUCACGGUUGCGUCUAUUUUAUAACGUGGACAUUAGGAAAUUACUAACUUAUUGACAUAAUUAUUUAAGUGUUGAAAACAACUACUUUAAAAGGUUCCUAUGAUAUAAGAGUAUAUAUUUCAUCAAAUAUAUGAUGUUAGAGGAUCAUUAAAAGAGUUAUGUAACACAAGACCAUUUAUAUGAUAAAUAGAUGACAUUAAAGGAUCAAUGUUGACAUCUAAAUUUUGGCAAUCCGAUCAUUCAUUCAUUGCAUAUAAAAUUAAAGAUUAGUUUUUAACCCCUAAACAAAAAUUAUUGAAAUUAUUUUGCAUUGGAUUGGUGACGGAUAGACUCAAGUGAUGGUCCUAAACUUAAUGGAACCCACAAAAGCAUGAAAUUCAGUUAAGCCCAUAAAGUCCACAUAACUGUAAAUUGGUGAUCUGAAUUGGAAAGAAAUUUGAAAUCAAGAGAGCACAUUCUUUAUAAUUCUAAGCCAUGAAAGGAGGGGUGGGCAAAUAUAAGCUGAUGGGCUCAAGCAAAAUCCAAGCGGUGGACCAAUGUUUGCUAAUGGAAAAGAAGAAUUAAAAUCUUGAAAAAACUGAGCAUAUAUUCUCUUCAUAUGUAACCAUGGCAUUAUAUUAUGUUUAUGAGCAAGUAUGGGCAAAUAAAACAAGGAAAAAAGGAUUUGGCUGAGUUGGCAAAUACAAUCGUGUGGACAAAGCAAGUGGAAAAGGGCAAAAGAAGAUUUUGACAUUACUCACAGAUGAGAACAAUGCAUCCGCUGCUUGAGAAAGAUUUCUUUUCUUGAUAUAAAAGGAAAGUGGGCAACGAUAGAUAUCAACACACACAAUCUAAUAAAAUACUUGCAUGGAAUUGGAAAGGAGAUUGUAUGCAAUAUGCGAUUGGAAAGAGGAAAUAAAUUUUGUUUCUUUCCUUGGUCAGCUCUAUUCCUUUGCAUAUAAAAGGAGAACACUCAAUAGACACUGGGGGUUGGAAAAAAAAAACACAGAUACACGUGAGGAAUAGAGAGAGAAGAGGAAGAGAAAGAACUCUUUUGGCCAACCCUUGGCAAAGAUGCUCGUCUUGAUGUGCCACGUCGCCACCGUUGUGCCCUCACCGUGGACGACAGUGCUGCAUCGCCCCUCCUUUAGCCACAAGCCAGCCACCCUGUGACGACGGAGCUGCCCAUGCCGAGCCGCUGCAGUUCGCGAUCCACUGUCAAGCCAUCGCCAUCCNNNNNNNNNNNNNNNNNNNNNNNNNNNNNNNNNNNNNNNNNNNNNNNNNNNNNNNNNNNNNNNNNNNNNNNNNNNNNNNNNNNNNNNNNNNNNNNNNNNNCUACUGAAGCAUUUUGAUUCUGAAAUGAACUUUCGGCUCAACUUUGAAUGUGGUCAUAAGAUUCAAAAGGUAGCCUACCUUAGAUUUGAAAAUCGAAUUUCGAACUUUCUCAAAUAAGAUCCACUCCUUGAGUACCACCUAUGCAACUAAGGACUCUCGACUCAGUGCAUCUGCAACUUUGCUCACCUUUCCAGAGUGAUACAAAAUAUCAUAGUCAUAAUCCUUAAAGAGUUCCAUUCAGCGAUGCUAUGUCAUAUUCAACUCCUAAGGUCUCAACUAAUGGGACGCGUAUGCACAACCCUCUCAUGCUGUAUCAACAAGCAACCCGAUCUUUUAAAUGACGCAACAUUGCAGAUUUCAUAACUUCCAGGACCAGAUGGAAUAGUCAGCACAUGUGCGGUAGUCAGCUUCUGCUUAAGCUCUUGAAAACUACACUCGCACUUACCUGUCCAUACGAAGUUCUCUUCCUUUCUCAGUAGUCUUGACAACGGUGACGCUAACGCUGAAAACCCUUCUAUGAAUUGUCUGCAAUAUCCUGCUAAUCCCCAGAAACUUCUGAUCCCUAUCACUGUAGUCAAUCUCGGCCAACUGUUCACUGCUUCAAUCUUGGAUGAGGUCUACGUAGAUUCCUUCUCCUGAAAUCACAUGACCUAGGAACACAACACGAGUCAUCCAAAGCUCGCAUCUGNNNNNNNNNNNNNNNNNNNNNNNNNNNNNNNNNNNNNNNNNNNNNNNNNNNNNNNNNNNNNNNNNNNNNNNNNNNNNNNNNNNNNNNNNNNNNNNNNNNNGUCCGAAGUACCCUCUUCCAAAUGUCUCUCGUGCUUCUCUGCACUCUUUGAACACACGAGGAUAACUUCAAUGAACAUGAUCACAAUUGAUUUAAGUACCCUUAAACAUUCUACUCAUAAAACCCAACAAAUAACUAAAGGUGUCCGUCAAACCACACGGCAUUACAGUGAACUCAUAACUGCCGUAUCAAGUGCAAGAUGCUAACUUCGGUAUGUCUUUCUUCCUGAUUUUCAACUGAUGAUACCCUAACCUCAAGUCGAUCUUGGAGAAUAUCAAUGUACAAACGCGAACCAACUUUCUUCUUCACGAAUAGAACGGGUGCUCCCCAAGGUGAUGCAUUGGAACGAGUGAAUCCCCUAUUCAACACUUCCUGCAUCUACACCGUUAGUCCUUUUAACUCGGAUAACACCAUCCCGUAAGAAGCCUUAGGGACUGGCUCUGUUCCGGGUGCUAAUUCAAUCACGAGCUCUAUUUCUCUUUCUGAUAGAAAACCCGGCAAUUCUUCAGAGAUUACCUUAGAAAACUCCUGUAUCAUGAUUAUGUUCUCCACACUUAGCUCCCUAACUAACGCCUCAAUUACAGUUGUCAUGUAGAUUCGGUAACCAACAACCAAAACUAGGUCACUUUUAGUGACGAAUAACAAAGAUUGAAGUUCCUCUUUGACUUUCAGUGAUUCAAAUUUUUGCACACUAACUGAACAAACUGAAUUAUAUCACUACCAUAAUUCAAAACAAUAGAAAACUUCUUAAGCCAAACCCUUUUAUAAAUGACUUCCAAGUCAUACUUAAGCAAACCUUUCAAGUACAACUAUAGUCAGAGAUUCAUCUUUCUAUUACCUUAUUACCACAAUGAAAAUCCGUNNNNNNNNNNNNNNNNNNNNNNNNNNNNNNNNNNNNNNNNNNNNNNNNNNNNNNNNNNNNNNNNNNNNNNNNNNNNNNNNNNNNNNNNNNNNNNNNNNNNGUAAUUUACAUGGAAUUAUUUGAUUAUGAGAGAAUCUUUUAAAUUGAUCUUUUGAUCUUAAGAUCAACUCAUCUAUUUUAUCCACGAAAUUUCAAGUUGAUUGUUUUUUUUUUUUUAAAUUGCAUCGAUUGGAUGAUAUAUGAUAUGGAGUGAUUUGGUGCAUCUCUUGCUUCAAUUGCUUUAUUUAUGCUGAAAAUACCCACAAAAAAAAUGCAUAUAAUAUAGAUUAGAAUUAGUUUCCAAAUAGUUUUUCUACUUUUUUUAGGAUGCAUGUUUAGAUAACUUUUAGACUAAAUAACAUACGUGCAUUGACUUUUUGAGAUAAGUAUCUGAGUUAAGAUAGGAUUUAGGUUAGUCUAUUUCCUAACUUAAAAUGAAUAAUAUAGAAUGAGAUUCACAAAAUGCAUGUUAUUUGGUAAUUGUUGCUAGGUCCAUUUAAUUAUAAAUUGUUUGUCAUUAGAUUAGACCAUUUAGUUAAAUUGCAUGACAUAUGGCUUAGUUUUCAUUUAUAUAAAGAAAAUCUAAAAAAGAUUGAGUGAUUAUGUGUUAAUUAGAAAUUGAUGUGAUUCCCUAACUAAUGCCUUUGAGGUAAGUAUUUCCUCCUUAUGCUUCAAAUUUAUUGAUUUGGUUUUUUGGGUGUUAAAUUGGUGAAUUGCAUAACCGCAUGGUCAUUUUACAUAUUAAGGAGUAAUAAAAUGAAUUCGAGUUACUUGAUAAACAUUUUUUCAUGAAGAGAAAAUGUAUUGAAAUGGGGUUAAAGCAAUUUAGCGUAAUUAAAUCCCCAUUCUCCCGUUAUUUUAUUUAGAUGUCUAAUUGACUUACUAUAAAUUAAUUAAUAACGACUCUCUAGAUAAAAUUCAUUGGUAUGCUAAAAGAACUUGAGCCUAAGUCAUGAAUUGGUGCGUGCUAAAAGAAUUUGUUAAGUCGCGAAUUAAUAUGGAUUUGCAAGAACCAAGAAGUUUAGACUUAAUUAUCCAUUAAUCAAACUCUAGAGGGUGCGAUAGUACACCCGAGGUUAGGUCGCAACAGUCAAUAAAAAAAAUAGAAAUUCUUCACUAAGAAUUACAGCUUGUCUCUUACAGGUAAAUGAAACAUUACAAAUCAGAAAACAUUUAGUAUUUUUUUUUUUAAAAAAAAAAAAAGGGCGCCAAAAGUUGCUCAAGCUGGACAGCCUUUCGGCCUUCAGAGGGACGGUCUCCGACACGGCCCUCGAGGUGAUCAAGAUGCAGAAAACUCCCAAACUAAAACAGGCAAUAUAGAAAUCAGACAUGAAGUUGCUCAAGCUGGACAGAAUUUGCCUUUAGAGGGACGUAGUCUCCGAGAUAGACCUCGAGAUGCUCAGACAGAGAGGACUUAUCAAUGUUCUCGUGGUGGUAAGACUUGCAGACAAAGUAGAUCACUGUCUGGACUACCAAAUCAAAAAGGACCACCAUUAGCAGCAACAACAAGCAGAUCAGUCCACCCGCAAUCUUGAUUCCAAUCCCUUGAACCAAGUCCAAGACCACAAGGCACUCAAACAGUGCCUCAACUAGGGCAGACCACAGCAUGACACCAAGAAAACACCCAACCGACAUACCCAUCUUGCCCUUUAUCAGCCUCCUGCUCUUCAUCAUCGCCUUCCUUCCAUACACAUCUUCAAGAACCGAGAUCACACUCGCCAAUUGCCAAAUCAUGGUGAGAUAAACAAACACAACAACGUACAAUAUCAGGAGAAUCACCAACAUGGCAAUCGCAAGUUCAGAGCCAACCAGAAAUGCGCUCACGAUGACGACCCAUCCGAUCAAAAGCGCAACAGCCACCACUAAGAACGCUACGAAGGUUACGAAUGUCCAGAGGAAAGUGACCAUGAGCCUCUUCCACACUCUGGGCACGACGCUCAUGAUCUUCUUGAAAGUAAUCUGCUUGGCGGCGUAGAUGCAGGCCACCGUAUAGACAACGGCCGAGGUCGAAAGCAGAGAGAAGAUAAAGACGAAGAUGAAGU